UCACAGUGCAUGGACGUCAAGGAGUC
rnacentral:piRNA from 1 species